rnacentral:rRNA from 1 species
AUGAGCGGAGUCUCCUACUCCAUAAGGUCUCCUCGUUGUCUUCAUUUCUUGCCCACGGCCUCGGAGAGCAGGUCAUUUUGGCCAAUCGCGCGAACCGCAUGUUACGCUUCGACACCAUCGACGGUUGCAGCUACAUUGAUACAAUGCCUAGCCUCCACGGGUACAAGCACUCGCCGCUGGCCAUCUCUGUCCCUCCGACGGACUUGCACCUCCUUGGACGGCGAUGACACCGGCAACCUCUACAGCAUUGACGCCCACCUGCAAGGCGAGUACCUCGGGGCAGAGUCCGCGCUACCGUACCUGAGCCCCUACAUGUGCGGCGAGAACCUGCUCGUCGGCGCCAACUUCGUGUCCGCUGGCAUCGGCAUCCUCAACGACACAGGCGUGCAAUUCGCAAGCUCCACGCGCGCGCACGCACACAUGCUCGAAUCAGGUGAACACAUCAGGAUCGCGCAGCAGUUGCAAAACUUCCAAGACUACCAGCGGAGGCUGGCGGCGUACAUCGGCGAGGACGCGGCGAGGGAGCGCGUGAGCCAGUCGCUGGUGCUCAUCACGCUCGGCGGCAACGACUUCGUCAACAACUACUUCCUGGUGCCCUUCUCCGCUAGGUCCCAGCAGUUUGAGAUCCACGACUACGUCCCCUUCAUCAUCUCCGAGUACAAGAAAGUCCUCGCGCUAGAGAAGGACAGGAGCUUGCACAGAGUUUUUAGUAGAAGACGGCGUAAAUUGUGGUAUUCUCCGCAAUCUGGAAGUUCUUCAGAUUUUCUAAUUGAACUGAAGUUCUAUAACCUUCCAGAUCCAAAUCCUACUUCAGAAAGUGUAUAUGAAGCAAAGGUGUUUUAUACUGAGCCAUCUGCCAUCUUGGCUUGUCUUAUACUGAGCCAUCUGCCAUCAUGUAUAUUGAUUGCGGUUGGAUUUUGGAGUGCCAUGGCUUCCAAUCUUACUAAUCAGUUGUUAGGUGUUUUCGGCAAGAAUCUUUUUACCGACAAGGAGGAUGAAGACGGGGAUUAA